rnacentral:lncRNA from 1 species
GAGAACACGGUCACGUUCAGAGGAGGAGGAAGAGAAAGUGUUGACUAUAGGAGGAGCAUUUGCACGGAUACAGAGUAGAAACAAGGUCACCCUUUUAGAGGUAAGUCAUCUAACUGUAGUUUACUAAGUGGCAUUAUCUGCAUAUAUGGAUUGAUGUUGAUUUUGUGUAUGCGAAAUGGUUUUUCUUUUACGCUACUUUCCUUCGUUUCUCGUGUUGCAUAUUAUCUUCAUUGUCCAAAUCCUUUCAUUGUCUGAAUCUCUCAUUGCCGUCGCGUUGAAAUCGUCCCCGAUAUCACAAACCUGGCCUCGCCUUCCCCCCACCAUUACCCUAUCUAUCACCGACGUAUCCAAACCUUACCCUUUCGCUUGCGCCCCUCCUCCCCCACUGCUUUUGACCAUAGCCAAUCAUCAACAACAAACUUGAACACCCACCA